AUGGCUCAGGACGAACGCUGGCGGCGUGCUUAACACAUGCAAGUCGAACGAUGAACCACUUCGGUGGGGAUUAGUGGCGAACGGGUGAGUAACACGUGGGCAAUCUGCCCUGCACUCUGGGACAAGCCCUGGAAACGGGGUCUAAUACCGGAUACUGAUCCUCGCAGGCAUCUGCGAGGUUCGAAAGCUCCGGCGGUGCAGGAUGAGCCCGCGGCCUAUCAGCUAGUUGGUGAGGUAACGGCUCACCAAGGCGACGACGGGUAGCCGGCCUGAGAGGGCGACCGGCCACACUGGGACUGAGACACGGCCCAGACUCCUACGGGAGGCAGCAGUGGGGAAUAUUGCACAAUGGGCGAAAGCCUGAUGCAGCGACGCCGCGUGAGGGAUGACGGCCUUCGGGUUGUAAACCUCUUUCAGCAGGGAAGAAGCGAAAGUGACGGUACCUGCAGAAGAAGCGCCGGCUAACUACGUGCCAGCAGCCGCGGUAAUACGUAGGGCGCAAGCGUUGUCCGGAAUUAUUGGGCGUAAAGAGCUCGUAGGCGGCUUGUCACGUCGGUUGUGAAAGCCCGGGGCUUAACCCCGGGUCUGCAGUCGAUACGGGCAGGCUAGAGUUCGGUAGGGGAGAUCGGAAUUCCUGGUGUAGCGGUGAAAUGCGCAGAUAUCAGGAGGAACACCGGUGGCGAAGGCGGAUCUCUGGGCCGAUACUGACGCUGAGGAGCGAAAGCGUGGGGAGCGAACAGGAUUAGAUACCCUGGUAGUCCACGCCGUAAACGGUGGGCACUAGGUGUGGGCAACAUUCCACGUUGUCCGUGCCGCAGCUAACGCAUUAAGUGCCCCGCCUGGGGAGUACGGCCGCAAGGCUAAAACUCAAAGGAAUUGACGGGGGCCCGCACAAGCGGCGGAGCAUGUGGCUUAAUUCGACGCAACGCGAAGAACCUUACCAAGGCUUGACAUACACCGGAAAACCCUGGAGACAGGGUCCCCCUUGUGGUCGGUGUACAGGUGGUGCAUGGCUGUCGACAGCUCGUGUCGUGAGAUGUUGGGUUAAGUCCCGCAACGAGCGCAACCCUUGUCCCGUGUUGCCAGCAGGCCCUUGUGGUGCUGGGGACUCACGGGAGACCGCCGGGGUCAACUCGGAGGAAGGUGGGGACGACGUCAAGUCAUCAUGCCCCUUAUGUCUUGGGCUGCACACGUGCUACAAUGGCCGGUACAAUGAGCUGCGAUACCGCGAGGUGGAGCGAAUCUCAAAAAGCCGGUCUCAGUUCGGAUUGGGGUCUGCAACUCGACCCCAUGAAGUCGGAGUCGCUAGUAAUCGCAGAUCAGCAUUGCUGCGGUGAAUACGUUCCCGGGCCUUGUACACACCGCCCGUCACGUCACGAAAGUCGGUAACACCCGAAGCCGGUGGCCCAACCCCUU
rnacentral:rRNA from 1 species